UCAAUAAGCGGAGGAAAAGAAACCAACAGGGAUUGCCCUAGUAACGGCGAGUGAAGCGGCAACAGCUCAAAUUUGAAAUCUGGCUCUCGGGCCCGAGUUGUAAUUUGUAGAGGAUACUUUUGAUGCGGUGCCUUCCGAGUUCCCUGGAACGGGACGCCAUAGAGGGUGAGAGCCCCGUCUGGUUGGAUGCCAAAUCUCUGUAAAGUUCCUUCAACGAGUCGAGUAGUUUGGGAAUGCUGCUCUAAAUGGGAGGUAUAUGUCUUCUAAAGCUAAAUACCGGCCAGAGACCGAUAGCGCACAAGUAGAGUGAUCGAAAGAUGAAAAGCACUUUGAAAAGAGAGUUAAAAAGUACGUGAAAUUGUUGAAAGGGAAGCGUUUAUGACCAGACUUGGGCUUGGUUAAUCAUCUGGGGUUCUCCCCAGUGCACUUUUCCAGUCCAGGCCAGCAUCAGUUUUCCCCGGGGGAUAAAGGCGGCGGGAAUGUGGCUCUCUUCGGGGAGUGUUAUAGCCCACCGUGUAAUACCCUGGGGGGGACUGAGGUUCGCGCAUCUGCAAGGAUGCUGGCGUAAUGGUCAUCAACG
rnacentral:rRNA from 1 species